CGGAACUGUGAGAGCACAGAAGAAACAGCUAACUGCCCAGAAUGUGUGUGUAGACCUGAGAGUUAGGACAACUGCCUGGAAAGGUUAGUACCUCAGCAGAAUUCUGCAUGGAAGUGAGAGUUUGCCAGGUGAAAAGGAGGAGACAAAGAUUUUCCAUUAGAAGAAGCUACAGAAAGUACAGCUUGCCUGGGCUAGGGCAAAUCAUUCAGUACAGUGCAAAUGCAAGAAACUGGGACACAGUAUUGAAAUGACAUACAGAAUGGAUUAAAGAGAAAAAGACAAAGGAAAAGGUUAAAGUUUUCCCCAAAGCACCUGUAUCUUGAAUCUCACAGUCAAAACUAAGGAGAAUCACAGUGAUAUGGAAGGUGUAGAUUGAUGAAUUUUGGAAGUUGAAUAGUCAUGUAACCUCCAUCAAAACAAGAACUAUGAAAAUCCAACUAUCUCCAGCACAAGGGGAAAGCUACAAAAGUGAAGGACUCACUUUAGGUCUUACCACCUAUAUGGCCAGGUUCCUAACUUACCCAUUUUGACAAGGAAAAUCUUAAGUAUUCUCUCUCCUAGGAAUAACGUUAAUACUCUGAAGAGUAUGGCUGGUGGUGAGAAAGCUUCAUUAAAAGGAGCCAAGAGAAGGCAUCAGACAGGAUUCCACCAGGCUCCCAUCAGCACCUCUGCGUAAUCUCCUUGCAUCUCCGCUGUUGCCAUGGACAGAGCAUCUUGCCUCAUCUUAUUGGAUAUGGUCUUUCAAGAAUCACCUUCUUCAGCAUCAAUAAUCAUUGAAAUAAAUGUAUAGAAAUUAACACACGUGCUAUGCAAAGUGGAGAAGGAAAUGGCAACCCACUCCAGUGUUCUUGCCUGGAGAAUCCCAGGGACGGGGGAGCCUGGUGGGCUGCCGCCUCUGGGGUCACACAGAGUCGGACACAACUGAAGCGACUGAGCAGCAGCAGCAGCUAUGGAAAGAAAAAGAGCCAUGAUAGAAAUAACAGGCAGGGUGGCCAGAACACCAUAUGAAAGGUGGUGGCACUAAAUUAAGCUGGAGAUGUAGACAGAGAGCCAAUGGCAGAGAGCUUUGCAUGGCAUGGUUAAGAAGAUCGAUUUUCUCCUCACUGUAGUGAGGAACCACUGCUGCAAGUGGCAUGGGCCAGUUUCCAUGGAAAGAGAUAAUUACAACAAUAUGGCCAGGUCUAUAAUUCAGCAGAAUAUUGUGAGGACACAGAGGAAAGGUGGCAGCUCUGUAAGUGGGGUUAGGAAGGCCUUAGAGAAAACAGCUGAUCUGACAAGUAAAGGAUCAAGUGGGAGUUCUCCUCAAAGAUGGCUAGCACUUAAAUAUAUUCUUUGCCUUUUCACACCAUGAAGGUGCUGUACUCACUGUAUAAACUCAUACUACACAAGCUUCCUUGGGCUGAAAUUCAGAUUUUUAUUUUGCUCAUGUACUUAAAGA
ensembl:lncRNA